UACGACUAACUACGUUAGUCGGCAAAUACUCGUCUAUUAACGACUAUUUAACGAUUAUAUUAUUGAAGGGAGACGUUUGUCGUUACUUAGUCGCCAAUUGACGACUACCAUCUCCGACUACGUUAGUUAGUCGCCAAAUCAGCGACUAAUAUACGACAACUUUCGGUAAUUGUAAAAUAGUCGCAACUGAGUCGCAGAGUAGUCGCAUUAAGUAGUUGGAAAACG
rnacentral:sRNA from 1 species